GGCAUAAUUUAACUUGAUUUGUGUCAUGAUAUGUUUUAACUCUCAAAAAAAAGAGAACCCAGAAGGAAGGAGAACUCCUGUAUGUAUUCACAGAAAAAGGCACGAAUCAAGGACCAACUUAGUAAGGCAGCAUUUCUCAUAUCCAGGCUGUAUUCUGAUCCAAUUUAUCAUUUGGAAAGCUGAUAAGGGAAUAAUUCAUCUAUUCUGCAUUUCCUGUGUGGGUGAUGUCACUGGAUAACUAACAGAUCAAGGGGACGUUACUUUUUAUGUAAGUAUUUCAGCUAAUAAAUGAAGGUGUAAUGAUAGCAUUAGAAUAUUACUAUUUUGCAACUCCUAGUGAAAUAAUAGAUCUAGGGAUUGAUCAUUGUAUGAAAGGACAAUAAAAACUGGGGACCCAAUUUACUAUGCCAAAAGAAAAAAAGUUAACCUGAAAGCUGAGUCAUGCGAGAAGCCACCUUUCCUUGCCUUUGUAAGCAGUUACAGAUAAAAGUUUAAACAUUUCCACAGGUAGCUACCCUGUUCAUCUUUUCUAAUUAAGUGCUGAUUUAUUGAGCAUAAGAUCAGUACAUAAUUGACUAUUUCCCUACCCGCUCCUUUUCUUUUGCAACGUGAGGAUCACCACACACUUCCUAUUUCCUCUCUAGGUCACUUUUCCUUUUUAAGUAUUGAAGCCCUCAAAAUCAUCUUUGGAGAAAAUCAGAGACCACAGACUGUGUCUGUGAUUCUGUGUUUAUUUCUUCUGGGCGUGUUCUUAACCUUGGCAAAAUAAACUACUACAUUGAUUGAGACCUGGCUGGGAUACUCUUUGGUUUUACAAUUGCUAUGGUCUUAAUGCAUCCCUCAAAAUGUAUCUGUCAGAACUCUAAUCCCUGAGACAGCAGUGUUGGGAGCUGCAGCCUAAUGGAGGUGUUUAGGUAAAAAAGCUACAUAUUAUUUGGAAAACUGAUAAAGGAGAGAAUAAAUUAUUUAUCUAUUCUGCAUUUCCCAUAUGUGGGUGGUAUCUACUACCCUGUAGUAGAUGAGGGGGAUGUUACUUUUUAUAUACAUACAAAAUAGUUACGUCUUAUAUAAGUACAAAAAGAGCUUGAAGGAAUCAGUUUACUUUUUGUCACUCUUCUGUCAUGUGAGCACAUCACAUCCAUCCUCUCUCCCUUUCACCUGCCUCCAUGUGAGGAUGUAGUAGGAAUGCCCUCUCCAGAGGCCUCUUGAUUUCAGACUUCCCAGCCUGCAGAACUGUGAAAGAAUAAAUUUCUGUUCUUUAUGAGUUACCUAGGUUCAGGAACUCAGUUAUAGCAACAGAACACUCCCAACUGGAGUUCUUCAGCACACCCCAGUCCAUCCCCUCACUAACCCUCCACCUGUCCAGUCUUAUCUGCCUUUAUAUCAAAAGCCCACAGCUAACCCAGAGGGCUUCAGCCCUGCCCUGCCUGACUUCCUAGGAAGCCCCCCUCUCCACCCA
rnacentral:lncRNA from 1 species